GCCGGAGUAGCUCAGAGGCCAGAGCGUCCGCCUUGUAAGCGGAGGGCCGUCGGUUCGAAUCCGACCUCCGGCU
rnacentral:tRNA from 1 species